GCACUGGGCGACCCGGCGUGCCUCGAGGCGUCGCGCGGCCGGAGAUGCGGGGCGCGGGUCCUCACGGGGCCGGACUCCCGCGUCUGAGGGAGUCGUGGCCGCUCCCUUCGAGGCAGCAGCGUCCUGUGAGGCGAGUGGCGCGUUCAGCUAGGCCCGAGGGACGCCGCGGGGGGUUCAGUCAGCAACCUCGAUCUCGGAAAAGCCGAGCGAAGUUUCCAGACGGCGCCGGCCGGUUGCGGCCGGUUGGUGCGUCGGCCGGCGCGCUCAGGGGGGCUCAGAAGUCGCCCGAGCCAAAGCGGGCUUUAGCAGGCGGGCCUCGGAAGCGGGGACGACGGACCCGGUCCCACCGCACCCCGGAACAAACGGAAACAGUCGCUCCGAAUUGCCAGACACUCCGCUUUUGUAGCGGAUCCCGCAUUUCCAGAAGGAAAGCGUAGCGAUACAACUGCCUAAACUCAGGGUUACUGCCGUGGCAGCUGCUGGGAUCCUGGAGAGAGUUCUUCUCACCACUGCAAUCUGUGCUUUGUAUCUGCCUUUGUAAACACGAGGAAUAGUGCAACCCUGCCAUGGACAGCAUGCCCUGAAUAGCUUCUUCCUCUGUGCUCGUCGAGAAAGAAAAAAAAAAAAGGCAACUUUCAAACCUCAAGAGCAUUUAUGGACGGACCAUGGUUUCAAGCAGUUUAUUACCUGGGCUCUUAUCUGCCUUUCUCUUCUGCAAGCACCACUGCAUAGCAACUCUUCUAUCAGCUCUCAGUGAUACACUGCCUUGCCCUGACAUAAUAACUACCAACUACAGAGGACCAGAUUUACUGGGAAUUAGUGGAAACUAAGAAAUUAAAAAUGAAUUCGGUAAUAUU
rnacentral:lncRNA from 1 species